rnacentral:rRNA from 1 species
UACGAAGGGGGCUAGCGUUGUUCGGAAUUACUGGGCGUAAAGCGCGCGCAGGCGGUCUUCCAAGUCAGUGGUGAAAGCCCGGAGCUCAACUCCGGAACUGCCAUUGAAACUGUUGGACUUGAGUAUGAGAGAGGUGAGUGGAAUUCCCAGUGUAGAGGUGAAAUUCGUAGAUAGUUGGGAAGAACACCGGUGGCGAAGGCGGCUCACUGGCUCAUUACUGACGCUCAGGCGCGACAGCGUGGGGAUCAAACAGG